rnacentral:RNase_P_RNA from 1 species
GAAGCUGACCAGACAGUCGCCGCUUCGUCGUCGUCCUUUCGGGGGGACGGGCGGAGGGGAGGAAAGUCCGGGCUCCAUAGGGCAGGGUGCCAGGUAACGCCUGGGGGGGGAAACCCACGACCAGUGCAACAGAGAGCAAACCGCCGAUGGCCCACGCAAGUGGGAUCAGGUAAGGGUGAAAGGGUGCGGUAAGAGCGCACCGCGCGGCUGGUAACAGUCCGUGGCACGGUAAACUCCACCCGGAGCAAGGCCAAAUAGGGGUUCAUAAGGUACGGCCCGUACUGAACCCGGGUAGGCUGCUUGAGCCAGUGAGCGAUUGCUGGCCUAGAUGAAUGACUGUCCACGACAGAACCCGGCUUAUCGGUCAGUUUCACUU